rnacentral:rRNA from 1 species
UACGGGGGGAGCAAGCGUUGUUCGGAUUUACUGGGCGUAAAGGGCGCGUAGGCGGCCACGACAAGUCACUUGUGAAAUCUCCGGGCUUAACCCGGAACGGUCAAGUGAUACUGUCGGGCUAGAGUGCAGAAGGGGCAACUGGAAUUCUCGGUGUAGCGGUGAAAUGCGUAGAUAUCGAGAGGAACACCUGCGGCGAAGGCGGGUUGCUGGGCUGACACUGACGCUGAAGCGCGAAAGCUAGGGGAGCGAACGGG